ACUCCGCUGCCUCUCUCUCACAUGAUUUCUUCCAUACUUCACGCUGUCUCUCUCUCUCACAACUUCUUCACAAUCAAUCGUCUCUCACACCUGGGUUUUUCUUUCAGAGGGCCAAUGCAAAACUAGUUUAUGCUUGUGAAUGGAAUCCCAAUGCCAUUGAGGCACUCCAACACAAUCUACAAGCCAAUUCAGUGAGUGAUCGUUGUAUCGUACUUGAAGGAGAUAACCGGAUUACACACCUAAAGUAUGUCCAUACACUGAUUUAUUUUGUAGUUAAUAAAUUCUAAAUAGUCAAGCUGUAGCACUAGCAUAUCAUGAUUAAAUUCCUAUUAGGUUAUUUUAAGUUAAUGAAAAUUUUCUUGUCUAGUGAUGUAGAGAGGAAAUUUUAAUUGACAAUGUACAUUUGAAGGUCAUGAUUGGUUAAUAGAUGUUGUCCAGUCAACUUUCCUGUGUAAUGUUUGAUGAACAUUAUUUUUAUUUUUUUUGGAUAGGUUGAUGAACAUUUUUAAAUGCUUGAUUUGAACCUAAUUUGGAAGACGAAUUAUUAUA